rnacentral:rRNA from 1 species
CAAGUCGACGGCACCAGCGGAGUUCGCUCCGCUGACGAGUGGCGAACGGGUGAGUAAUAUAUCGGAACGUGCCCAAGAGUGGGGGAUAACGUAGCGAAAGUUACGCUAAUACCGCAUACGAUCCAAGGAUGAAAGCAGGGGACCGCAAGGCCUUGUGCUCCUGGAGCGGCCGAUAUCUGAUUAGCUAGUUGGUGAGGUAAAGGCUCACCAAGGCGACGAUCAGUAGCUGGUCUGAGAGGACGACCAGCCACACUGGAACUGAGACACGGUCCAGACUCCUACGGGAGGCAGCAGUGGGGAAUUUUGGACAAUGGGGGCAACCCUGAUCCAGCAAUGCCGCGUGAGUGAAGAAGGCCUUCGGGUUGUAAAGCUCUUUUGUCAGGGAAGAAAAGGGUACGGCUAAUAUCCGUGCCUCAUGACGGUACCUGAAGAAUAAGCACCGGCUAACUACGUGCCAGCAGCCGCGGUAAUACGUAGGGUGCAAGCGUUAAUCGGAAUUACUGGGCGUAAAGCGUGCGCAGGCGGUUUUGUAAGUCUGUUGUGAAAUCCCCGGGCUUAACCUGGGAAUGGCAAUGGAGACUGCAAGGCUAGAGUUUGGCAGAGGGGGGUAGAAUUCCACGUGUAGCAGUGAAAUGCGUAGAGAUGUGGAGGAACACCGAUGGCGAAGGCAGCCCCCUGGGUCAAGACUGACGCUCAUGCACGAAAGCGUGGGGAGCAAACAGGAUUAGAUACCCUGGUAGUCCACGCCCUAAACGAUGUCUACUAGUUGUUGGGUCUUAAUUGACUUAGUAACGCAGCUAACGCGUGAAGUAGACCGCCUGGGGAGUACGGUCGCAAGAUUAAAACUCAAAGGAAUUGACGGGGACCCGCACAAGCGGUGGAUGAUGUGGAUUAAUUCGAUGCAACGCGAAAAACCUUACCUACCCUUGACAUGUCAGGAAUCCUGGAGAAGAUCUAGGAGUGCCCGAAAGGGAACCUGAACACAGGUGCUGCAUGGCUGUCGUCAGCUCGUGUCGUGAGAUGUUGGGUUAAGUCCCGCAACGAGCGCAACCCUUGUCAUUAGUUGCUACGAAAGAGCACUCUAAUGAGACUGCCGGUGACAAACCGGAGGAAGGUGGGGAUGACGUCAAGUCCUCAUGGCCCUUAUGGGUAGGGCUUCACACGUCAUACAAUGGUACAUACAGAGGGCCGCCAACCCGCGAGGGGGAGCUAAUCCCAGAAAGUGUAUCGUAGUCCGGAUUGUAGUCUGCAACUCGACUGCAUGAAGUUGGAAUCGCUAGUAAUCGCGGAUCAGCAUGUCGCGGUGAAUACGUUCCCGGGUCUUGUACACACCGCCCGUCACACCAUGGGAGCGGGUUUUACCAGAAGUAGGUAGCUUAACC